GGAGAAAUAGGGAGCAGGGGGGGCGGGAAUAUGUGGGGACCGAGGCGGUGGCGGAUAGAUUGGGCGUAAAGGGGGGGGAGGGGGGACCUGAAGGCCUGCGGGAAAUCCGGCGGGUGAAACGGAGAGGGUCGUGGGAAACUGGAGGGCUAGAGUGCGGGGGAGGGGAGGGGAAUUCCCGGUGUAGCGGUGAAAUGCGCAGAAAUCGGGAAGAACACCUGGGGCGAAGGCGGCUCUCUGGAACGCAACUGACGCUGAGACGCGAAAGCGUGGGGAGCAAACAGGAUUAGAUACCCUGUAGUC
rnacentral:rRNA from 1 species